GUCUACGGCCAUGCCACCCUGAAUGUGCCCGAUCUCAUCUGAUCUUGGAAGCUAAGGUUGAGCCUGGGUAGUGCUUGGAUGGGAGACCUCCUAGGAAUACCAGGUGCUCUGGGCG
rnacentral:rRNA from 1 species